rnacentral:tmRNA from 1 species
GGGGGCGACAGAGUUCGACAGAGCUGGUUCGGCCUAGAAUUGCGAGUCGAGGCGCCGUUGGCCUCGUAAAAAGCGGCAACAAAGUAACUGCGGAAAAUCAGUACGCAUACGCAGCCUAAGCGCUGUGGGUCCGUUCUCUCCUAGCCGGUUGGAGGGAGUACGGGUCUAAAAAAAUCCGGAUCGCGUAAGCGCUCUUCUGUUCGUAGAACGCCUCGCUAAAAUAAUCGAACUGGACGUCCGCCCAGGUUAGCCCUGACAGAGGACGGCGUCGAGAAAAGUAGAGAGGGAGACACUCGUGGUAGUUCGGGUACGAUAGUUUUGGAAGAGGGUUUAAUUCCCUCCGCCUCCACCA